AAAUGCAACCAAUUCAAGUAUUUACAUUCCAUCAUCCAAAAAAUAGAAUAAUAGAUCCUUUGUUUUGAUAAAUCCUUUUUGUCUUUUAAAGGUAUGCUCUCUUUGGGUAUUUUUUCUAUUAGGGAUUGGGCAAGUGGUAUUUGUGGAAUUGAUUUUUGAUACAUGGAUAUUGUUAUCAAGUGUGUUGGGUUGAUUUUAUUUGAGUCAAAAUUUUGUUAAGAUUUAUCCAACAGUAACACUAUAAUUUCUGGUGUGAUUCCGAUGAUGACUAAGAUGACAGAACACAAAAUUAAUAGGACAAAUUAUCUAGAGUGGAGUAAGACUGUUAGGCUCUAUCUGCGAAACAUAGACAAGGAUGAUCAUCUUACUCAGGAUACCCAAUGAUGAUAUGAGGCAAACUUUGACUCAAGGAGGAUGCUAGAUUAUUUUGCAGUUUCGAAACUCGAUUCAUAUUGAGGCAAUCAGUUUAAUUAAUCAAUGUGAAUAUGAU
rnacentral:misc_RNA from 1 species